rnacentral:rRNA from 1 species
AUACGAGGGGUGCAAGCGUUAAUCGGAAUUACUGGGCGUAAAGCGCGCGUAGGCGGUUUGCUCAGUCGGAUGUGAAAGCCCAGGGCUCAACCUUGGAACUGCAUACGAUACUGGCAAACUAGAGUGUGAGAGAGGAUAGUGGAAUUUCCGGUGUAGCGGUGAAAUGCGUAGAUAUCCGAAGGAACAUCAGUGGCGAAGGCGACUGUCUGGCUCAACACUGACGCUGAGGUGCGAAAGCGUGGGUAGCAAACAGGAUUAGAGACCCGAGUAGUCC